rnacentral:lncRNA from 1 species
UGGGGAGGGUAGAGUGUAUGCAGAUCAUACCACUACCUCAGGAGAAGUAGAGAGGCUAUUUUCGAUUAACCCCUGGAUUAGGACCGAUAACAGUAUAACAAACACAAAAGGUAAGCACAUAUACACUAGUAUGGUACGCAAAACAAAUUAACAGUAUAACAAACACAAAAGAUAAGUGCAUAAUAAACUAGUAGGGGAUGUAAAAUAAACUAACACCACUAGCCCCGAGAUAAUACUACAGCCAUAAUACUAUGAAUAAGAAACUCUAGACACAAAGAAGCGUUCCUCUAUUAUUACCGACACAUUCCCACCCCCUAACACUCUACUCUAAUCCGAG